UGUUCUGUGGCGGAGUUGGUUAACGCGCCCUGUCUAACAAACUUGGGAAGACGUGGAUUCAAACCUCACCAGAACUA
rfam:Aedes albopictus isolate Foshan contig72425, whole genome shotgun sequence.